CGGGACGGGGUGGAGGUAACGGACGUGGAGUAACCUGCCUCACACUGGGGGAUAACAGUUAGAAAUGGCUGCUAAUACCGCAUAAGCGCACAGUACCGCAUGGUACGGUGUGAAAAACCCAGGUGGUGUGAGAUGGAUCCGCGUCUGAUUAGCCAGUUGGCGGGGUAACGGCCCACCAAAGCGACGAUCAGUAGCCGACCUGAGAGGGUGACCGGCCACAUUGGGACUGAGACACGGCCCAA
rnacentral:rRNA from 1 species